CCUCAAUACCAUCAAGCUUUCAUGUGCAACAAUUGCUUAGAUUCACACUAUUUUUUUUUCCUUUGUGCAGCAGUUCUCUAGCUUUCAACCAGGCUUUGGCCUUGUUCCAGGUAAAGUGAGAAAAUAGGAAUUGCAGACUGGGGAGGACGAACUACCACUAGGAUGCAGCUGGCAGGUUACAUGUUCCUCUAGACAUGUUAUAGUGCUGGACCGAUUAACUCUGAAACACCUCGUGUACGAAGACCUUGUGUAUGUAGGAGCUAUGUGCUUUUGAUCUAACCUAAGCAGUCGUUGGUUGUUGAGGUUCUAACAAUUAUCAUGCUUGAGGCGAUACUGAAGCCCAACCACAAGUACACGGCUCACAUGGCUGAGGAGGCAAAAUAGUACCCACCAUCAUGUUCUACCUGUCAAUUCACCAUCGUUAGCCUGCUUAUGGGAGUCUUUCACUGUAUAGAAGUACUAUGGACAGUUUGGAGGACGCAAAUAAAAUAU